CAGCAAUAUAAAUCAGAGUCAUGGGAGCUGCAGUUCAGUUCUUGGUGUAUCAGAAAGGGUGAACAGUGAUUUAAAUGUUCUAACGGCAUUAAACUCAACAUUCAAAAUUACCAAUAAUGAAAACAAUUUUUAAAAAGGGUUACUGACUGCCUAAAUAAAAAAUGUUUAAAAAGUAAUAACCAAUUUUAUUUAUUUAUUUAUUUUUGCA